rnacentral:rRNA from 1 species
GAUGAACGCUGGCGGCGUGCCUAAUACAUGCAAGUCGAGCGAACGGACGAGAAGCUUGCUUCUCUGAUGUUAGCGGCGGACGGGCGAGUAACACGUGGAUAACCUACCUAUAAGACUGGGAUAACUUCGGGAAACCGUAGCUAAUACCGGAUAAUAUUUUGAACCGCAUGGUUCAAAAGUGAAAGACGGUCUUGCUGUCACUUAUAGAUGGAUCCGCGCUGCAUUAGCUAGUUGGUAAGGUAACGGCUUACCAAGGCAACGAUGCAUAGCCGACCUGAGAGGGUGAUCGGCCACACUGGAACUGAGACACGGUCCAGACUCCUACGGGAGGCAGCAGUAGGGAAUCUUCCGCAAUGGGCGAAAGCCUGACGGAGCAACGCCGCGUGAGUGAUGAAGGUCUUCGGAUCGUAAAACUCUGUUAUUAGGGAAGAACAUAUGUGUAAGUAACUGUGCACAUCUUGACGGUUCCUAAUCAGAAAGCCACGGCUAACUACGUG